rnacentral:rRNA from 1 species
CCUACGGGGCGCAGCAGUGGGGAAUAUUGGACAAUGGGGGGAACCCUGAUCCAGCCAUGCCGCGUGUGUGAAGAAGGCCCUCGGGUUGUAAAGCACUUUCAGUGAGGAAGAACGCCUGGUGGUUAAUACCCAUCAGGAAAGACAUCACUCACAGAAGAAGCACCGGCUAACUCCGUGCCAGCAGCCGCGGUAAUACGGAGGGUGCGAGCGUUAAUCGGAAUUACUGGGCGUAAAGCGCGCGUAGGUGGCUUGAUAAGCCGGUUGUGAAAGCCCCGGGCUCAACCUGGGAACGGCAUCCGGAACUGUCAAGCUAGAGUGCAGGAGAGGAAGGUAGAAUUCCCGGUGUAGCGGUGAAAUGCGUAGAGAUCGGGAGGAAUACCAGUGGCGAAGGCGGCCUUCUGGACUGACACUGACACUGAGGUGCGAAAGCGUGGGUAGCAAACAGGAUGAGAUACCCCAGUAGUC